GGGAGCAACUCGAUGGUGGGUUAAGGUUCAAUUGCAUUGAGCUCUCACUGCAAUGAAGGAGAGAGGAAAAGUAGAAUACAUGCUGUGGUUUAACUGGAACUAGUCAAUCUGUGGGAACUCGUGGUUGCCAGACAGGAAGGCAGAAAAAGUGAGAAGGCACACGCGCGCGUGCGCGCACACACACACACACACACACACACACACACACACACGUAUCCUAGCUCUGUCUGCAGAAGAGUCUUGUUACCAAUGAGUGCUCAUCAGCAGGCUCCCAGAAUGCACUUCUGAACCCCAUUCUCCAAGACAAAGCUAAGUAAGUCUCCAUGGCACUUUCAGUUCCAGAAACACAAACCCCAGAGAUGGCACAGAGAAAACACAAGGCGGGCUUCAGUGAUGAGCUUUUUAGAGGGCAAGUUGCCCCAGGCAACAGUGAGGUAAUAAUGAGAACACGAGGGCCAGGGCUGGUGGGAUGGCUUGGUGAGUAAGGCACUUGCCACUAAGCCUGAUAAUCCUAGCUCAGCGGCAGGAAUCCACACGGUCCUCUGACCUCCACACACUGCCACAGCACAGGAUGCUCAUGAACACACACAUGCAGGACGCAGUGAAUAAGACAUACAAGUAUCUUUAAAACAUUCCUGUUGGGCUGGAGAGAUGGCUCAGCGGUUAAGAGCACCCGACUGCUCUUCCAGAGGUCAUGAGUUCAAUUCCCAGCAACCACAUGGUGGCUCACAACCAUCUGUAAAGAGAUCCGAUGCCCUCUUCUGGUGUAUCUGAAGACAGCUACAGUGUACUUAUAUAUAAUAAAUAAAUAAAUCUUUAAAACAUUCCUGUCAAAGGCUG